CGAAAGGGGCGUGGGCGCGAGGGGCGGCAGGCUAGUAACCAUAGCGGCGCGCGUGGGUCGGCGGGCAAGUAACCGUAGCGGCGCGCGUGGGGCGGAGUGUGGCUUGGUAGUCCUCUGCGUUCCCUCCUGGGAGCUGGGUGCUGUAAGUCCUCCCUUAGCGGGCUGCUCUCGGCGCGGAGUCGGCGCCGAACCCGAGCUGCUGCUCUGGGGCGUGUGCCUAGGGCGCAGGGUUGGAGCGCAGGGGCUGCGCGGUUGCUCGCGGCUCCGCUGAGGUCUCUAGGAAAGGGGGCGAUUUGAGGGUUCUGCCGUGACCGCUCCCAGCGGCGGAGACGCGCGCUCUGGACCAGAACCGUUGCCCGCUGUCUCGUCACCCGAAGCCGCCUCCUGACGCCGUGCUAGUGCGAGGGUCUCCAGGGGAAUUCGGGGCACAAGUCGGGCCGGAGCAUCAGGGCGGCCGUGGCGCGAAGACGCAGGAUCGGCGCUUUGAGAACUGAGCGCAUGUGGAGUUCGGAGGAAAAGGGCGCAGAUCGAAGAUGGAAAAUCCCCAAGACAUUUUCUCAAGUAAUGGUGGCUGUCUAAUUGAUAUAGUUAUAGAAAAAUACCUGGUUGAAUCCAAGGAGUCUGUGUCUCAUGUUCAGCUUGCUUGCAGCAUGCAGGACUGUGCUUUCCCUUUGGAUGGGACUGAACUUUGUAUAUGGAACACUGAGGAUCCUUCUCAUCAGCUUCUAAUCCUACGAGGACACCAUCAGCCAAUUACUGCUAUGGCUUUUGGAAAUAAAGUGAACCCACUUCUAAUCUGCUCAGCAUCACUGGAUUAUGUUAUAAUGUGGAAUCUGGAGGAAUGUAGAGAGAAAGUACUUCAAGGGCUGGUCCCUCGAGGGACUGUCAUGGGCUCGCUUUUGGGAAAGGUGCUGUGUUUACAGUUGAGCCCGGAUGAUCAUGUUGUUGCCGUGUGUGCUGGAAACAAAAUAUUCAUGCUGGAUAUUGAGACUCAGGCUGUCCAGGCCAAGCUGCACGGCCACCUGGGCCCGGUGACUGCGGUGGAGUUCUGUCCCUGGCGAGCAGGCAUCCUCAUCUCAGUGUCCGAGGACAGAGGCUUUAAGGUCUGGGACCAUUGUACAGGAUCAUUAAUAUACAGUUCAUCUGUGUUAUCAGCAUAUCCUCUUCUCAGCUUAUUCAUUGAUGCAGAAAGCAGGCAGCUGGUCACUGGAUGUGCUGACGGCCAGCUUUGGAUCUUCAGUUUGAUGGAUGGACACCAUUAUCGUCGUGUGGCACGGGUUGACCUAAGGAAGAAGACAGAGACGUUCUCCACAAGAAGGGUUAAGUCUGGGCUGUGCAGCCAGCCAGAAGAAAGCCAUCUUCCCUCUACAAGUGCUCUGGGAAAAGGAGAGCAGGUUGAAGUAACAUUUCCUGUACUGAGACUUGCACCCUGUGAUCUGUCACUCAUCCCAAAUUCUGCAUGUGGAUGUCUUUCUUCUGAGAACACCCAAUGUGUAUGGAUCGGAAGCUCAGUGGGCUUAUUCGUAUUUAACCUGGCAAACCUGGAAGUGGAAGCUGCUUUGUAUUACAAAGAUUUCCAGAGCCUCAGCAUCCUGCUGGCCGGAUCGUGUGCCCUGAGGAACCGCACUGCGGAUCGAAAGGCGCUGUGCUUGCUGGCCUCCCUCUUUGGCGGGAAGAUUGCCGUGUUGGAGAUCAACCCGGCCGCGCUGGUCAGGGCUCAGCAGUGCCACAGCGUGGGGCAGAGCCUCUCGGUGCCAGCCAGCUUCUGUGUCCUACCGACCUCUCCACUGUAUCUGGGAAUUGCCAAGGAGAAGAGUACCAAGGCUGCUAGUCAACAGCGAUGUGCUGCACGGAACGUCAUGAAGGACCAACGCCUGGUUUUCCAUAGUAAAGUUAGGUCGUCUGGUUAUGCGUCAGCACCACAUGUGACUAUGUUUUCACCAAAGACCAACAUCAAGAGUGAGGGGAAAGGAUCUUUAAGACGCAGGAGCCGCUGCGCAUGGGAGGCAUACCCCGUGGAGUGCGCUGUGCCCACCAAGCCCGGCCCCCAGGUCACCGCCGCCCCCACCUGCGCACGCGUGUGCUGCAUCCAGUACUCAGGAGAUGGGCAGUGGCUGGCUUGUGGGUUGGCCAACCAUCUGUCACUCGUUUUUGAUGCCAGCCUGACUGGGACACCUGCUGUGUUUUCAGGUCACGACGGGGCAGUGAACGCCGUGUGCUGGAGCCAGGACCGGAGGUGGCUGCUUUCUGCGGCCCAGGACGGGACCCUGCGGGUGUGGUCGGCUCGUGGGGCAGAGCUCGCACUGCUUCUGGGCAAAGACAUGUUUUCUAAACCUAUACAGUCUGCACAGUUUUAUUAUAUAGAUGCCUUUAUAUUGUUAUCUUCUGGCCCUGAAUUUCAGCUACUGAAGUAUCACAUCGACACUUGCAAAGAUGAGAUUAAGAGAUAUAAACAGAAGAGCAAGUCCAAGCUGAUUUGCAGGCUCUCCAUGACGGGUGCAGUAGACAUGACCAGUUUAUCGGCAGUCAAUGACUUUUAUUCCCACAUCGUACUCACAGCUGGCCGGAACAGGACCGUGGAAGUGUUCGACCUCAACGCUGGCUGCAGUGCAGCAGUGAUAGCGGAAGCCCACUCGCGGCCUGUCCAUCAAAUCUGCCAAAAUAAAGGUUCAUCAUUUACAACCCAACAGCCUCAGGCUUAUAACCUUUUCCUGACCACGGCCAUUGGCGAUGGGAUGAGACUGUGGGACCUGAGAACCCUGAGGUGUGAGCGCCACUUUGAAGGGCAUCCAACCCGUGGCUAUCCAUGUGGAAUCGCUUUCAGUCCUUGUGGACGAUUCGCGGCUUGUGGGGCUGAGGACAGACACGCUUACGUGUAUGAAAUGGGUUCAAGCACGUACUCUCACCGGCUGGCUGGGCACACAGACACCGUCACUGGAGUGGCCUUCAACCCAUCGGCGCCCCAGCAAUUCUCCUCCUGCCAUCAUGUGAAGAAGGACAUGUUUGCUUUCCCUUCUGCCAUGAUAGAAAGUUUCCUGAGGCCUCCCCAGCACUGCAGAACUGUGAGUCAGCUUGCCACAGCUACCUUGGAUGGUAAACUCCAGCUCUUUCUAGCUGAGUAACCACUGACCUGUGAGCUGGGUCCAGGAAUGCUGUGAGGAACAACUUAAAAAUGACCUGGACAUUCUGAAGUUGCAUUAAUAGCAAGUUUAUAUUCCUAAUAUAAGUACAUCUCCUCCGAGUCUUGGAAAAUGGGAUCAACUUAACUGUCUCCACAUGUAUGCUCUGGGGAGCCCGGGACUCACUGAACCCCAGUUACAAAACCUACAGCAAAUUUUUGUCCAGAUCACUAUCCAUCCAGCUUGCCGUGUUCUGGAGGAAGAUGUUUUGUUUUAUAGUUUGUGCUAUAGUCAUGAGAACAAGCAGCUUGUGUUCUAUUUCUUCUUACUUUUUGAAGCAAGUGUGCUGGGUACUGUUCAUGCUGAUCAGCCCUAGGCCUUGGGGGCCGUGCCCUUGCAGCGACUCUGAAGCCACCGCCCAGCCUUGUGCCUGGGAGACCAGGGAGGCUGGGGAGGGAGGCCGAGGAAGCUGACUGCACGGCAGCUGAGGUCACAGCUGCUUGUGGAGAGAAGCUUCAAGUUGACAUCACUGUGAGCUAAAACUGUGGCUACCCUCUGGAUAACAAAGCAAGCUAUUGGCAGGAAGAAAGGGAAAAUUACGAAAAUUAAACAAGGCAAGCAUUAAUGCCAUAUUGCCUUUUCUCUGAAAUGCAAGAUUUGGCAAAGCCAAUUUCCACAUUUGGCCGUGGCCUCUCAGGCUUCUGUGCCAUCCCCGUGGAACGUGGCGCUGAUCCUGGGUCUCCCCUCUCCAGCCCUGGCUUUGUCCACUUUGCCCCUCCUGGGCUCCGCCUUGCCCUUCUCCUGCGGCUGCCAUGCCCGUCCUGAACUCAGCUCCUCUCUGACCCCCACGCACAGCUCCUCUCUGACCCCACGCACGGCUCCUCUCUGACCCCACGCACGGCUCCUCUCUGACCCCAUGCACGGCUCCUUUUUGACCCACAUCCGCGGCGGCGUCCAGCCUCGGCUGCUCUCACUGCAGCCGUUUCUUCACAGGGUGAACUUCGCAGAAACACUCAAAGCCGUCUGUUAUGUACAAAGGACCGCGUGUCUGUAAUCUAUAGCCAUUUACCAGUUACCAAGAAAACAUGGAUGUUUCCACUAAAAAUCACAAACGUUUCUUUCAAGCGAGGAGCGCCCUGCGCCAGAGGCUGUGGGAGGAGUGAGGAGUCUGGGUUCGUUCCAGCCGCACAGGCAGAAGUACUCAUCUGGUGUCUACCCAAUGUGGAUAGAUGGUGGUGUUCCAUGCAGUCGAUUUUCCUCAGCAACACCAAGGAGCAAACCGCUGAUCCUAGCAGAGACACGCUGGAUCUCAGGACCGCUACGCUGAGUGGAAGACACCAGAUGGAAAAGGGUGCAUGCUCUGUGACCCAGACUCUGUGAAGUCUCUAGACUCACUCAAACCACCUCUGACUAGAGAAGCCAGACCCAAUGUACUCUGGGGCUUGCCUGGAUGGGGCAGAGAUGUUCUGUGGGGUGAUGGGUGAGCUCUGUCAUCCCAGGGGGCUCCCUGAGCCCAUGCCACUGUAUGUGAAUGAUAUCUCAAUACAUUUCCCUUAAACGGGAGAGGCACAGCCUGUCUGCACAUUUCCAGCAAUGGUGGUGGGGUGAGGGCUGUGACAGGUAGCUCAACUGUAGAACUGUGGCCUCACUCCUGUGCAAUUCCGUUCAUUUACUCAUUCAACAAUAUCUUUUGAGCAGCCACUGAGUUCCAGGCUCAGUCUGGCACUUGGGAAGCAGCAGUGAACAAAGCAAUGAAACCCGGAGCUGGCAUUCCCACAAGUCUAGAGGCGGCUUCCUCCAGGGCUCCCUGCUGCCUGGGGCUGCAGCCUCCUCUCUCCAGGAGAUCUGGCAGCACCAAAGCUCCCCGCUGGCAGCUGUCGGACUCCUUCAUGCAGAGCAGAGCGGUGCCCAUGACGCUGUUCCUCCCCAGUCUUCAUAAUGAUGUUGUAGUUUCCUUAAAGUCCUAGACUCAAAAGCGGGAAAGGGUCAGAGGCCAUAGCUCUAAUUUCAUUGGUAUAAUUGCAAAAGAAUAGAUUUUGGUGAGUGUGACUUCUGGAAGAAAGGUAAUAAAUU